GUGAGGAAUUUUCCGCAAUGGGCGAAAGCCUGACGGAGCAAUGCCGCGUGAAGGAUGAAGGCCUAUGGGUUGUAAACUUCUUUUCUCAGAAAAGAAUUAUGACGGUAUCUGAGGAAUAAGCAUCGGCUAACUCUGUGCCAGCAGCCGCGGUAAGACAGAGGAUGCAAGCGUUAUCCGGAAUGAUUGGGCGUAAAGCGUCUGUAGGUUGUUUAAAAAGUAUUCUGUCAAAGAUUAGGGCUUAACCCUAGAUAGGCAGAAUAAACUUUUAAGCUAGAGUUUGGUAGAGGCAGAGGGAAUUCCCGGUGGAGCGGCGAAAUGCGUAGAUAUCGGGAGGAACACCAAAGGCGAAGGCACUCUGCUGGGCCAAUACUAACACUGAGAGACGAAAGCGAGGGGAGCAAAUGGGAUUAGAAACCCGAGUAGUCC
rnacentral:rRNA from 1 species